CCAAUUUUAGUAUAUGUGCUGCUGAAGUGAGUACCCAGUAUAUUCUUAAAAGGAAAUUUUUUUGAGUCCACCAAAUGGAGGACAUGUAUUAUCUAUUAAAUGAAUUUUUUAAAGCAUUUGAGUAGUUUUUUUAACUUUGUAUGCCAAGACUUUUUUAUUUUAGUGAUAUUUACAUAAUAAAUGUAAUUUUAAUCACUUAAGUUCUUCCAUCACUGAAAUAUGUGCUUUUCCUUAUCCUUAGGCAUCUUGAAUUAUCUGAUGUUGAGGGACCUCCUGAAAUGAUUUUAUUUUUUUCUUCGUUUUUUCUUACUCAGUUUUGGCUCACUGGAAUGCUAUGGCCUGAUUAAGGCUGUCAAAAGGAGAAUUCUCCCUUUAAUUUUCACUUGCUUCUACUUCAGUUUCUUGUACUGGUUCAGGAACUUUCUUUUUUUCUUUCUUCUUUGGAGGCUCACGUUCUCCAAGCAUAUUUUUCAGACAGGUAUAACUUAGUUGUUCACUUUUCUCACAAACAUAACACUUAGAUUCAUGAAAGUAGUCCUGCCUUUGGGUGAACUCAGCUACUCUUCUGUUGUCAACAGUGAUCCUUGCUUUUAUCGCUUUACCAAGUAACUGUUGUUAAUUGCCCUGAUACCGUUUUGUACAAAUCUUUUAUCCAAAAAUAAAAUAAAUGCAACCUCUUUACUCUUCCUGGUAUCUUUAUAUUUUAUUACAGUAAUCUUUACAACUUUGCCACGCUUGGAAAAUAUCCAGUAUAAGUUAUUAACUGUCAGGGAACAGGCAAAUUGGAUACAUGCUCUGUGCUUUUACUUGGAGCCAACUCACCACUCAUGUCUUCAGGGGGGCAGACCCAAGAGACCAGAAGAGCUAGAGCCCUCGGCUUAGCUGGAGCUUAAAAAAAAAGAAAAGAAAA